GAGGGUAUAGCUCAAGUGGCAGAGUGCAUGCUUAGCAUGCAUGAGGCACUGGGUUCAAUCCCCAGUACCUCCU
rnacentral:tRNA from 1 species